ACAUAUUAUGUUAAUAAUACCGCACAAGAGAACAGUGUCUUUCUGCAUCCUUCCACAGAAGAAGAGACCUAGGUCAUCCUCUAACUUUGAUGUUCGGCCAUCGAGAACCUGCGCAGCAUACAUGGGUACCCAAGAAAGUUUCCACCCUCUAUGUCUAGGAGCCGGGUGAUGCUUAAUCUUCGACCAAGGGUUAAAUCAGCUGCAGGAAGAUGAAUACGCAUCAGGAGUCAAAGAUUUAUGAUAAAUGGAGAAUAGCAUGACAUAGUUUGCCUCUAUCUUGUAUUUUUAAUCACUACAUUACAAGGAAUUAAAAAUCAUUUACAAAAGUAUUGAAAAACUGUGGCGGCAAGAGUUUUUGUGGAAAUCUGCACUUAGUUUUCAUGGAGUUAUUUGAAUGGUACUUGGCAACACAGCACUGCAUAUAUUACUUCACUGAGGCACUGGAUGUGUUCAAAUAAUUUUAACCCUUAAAAGAUGUUUUUGCUCUACUUUUCAAUAUUAAAAAGAAUAUUCUGUGGCAAUGUGCAGGUGAUUUUCAACAAACACUUAUAGGGAAUGGAAUGUAUCAACAGUACCAAGCAGGUACCACUUUGCCGAGAUAUAGGCUGGCUUCAGGCAACAAUUCGCCUUAAAAAGAUGUUUAUGGUACUGGUUCCGUAACAACUGCAGAUGUUAUUGGUGCUCCUACUUAUUUGAUCUUCCUGUAUAUUCCCCAUUGAAGAUAUAAAACAGAACGCGGACUUAGGAUAGGGACACUUCAUUUUGAUCACACUGAUCUCAUUUUUUUAAUUCUACGAUUUUUUUAAAGUAAAAUUUAGAUAAAAUGAUUAAAUUCUGUUAUUUGUACAUAAAUUCUUAGUACAAACGCAAAUGUUUUUACAUAAUUUAAGUUAAAAUUCAAAUAUUUAUAUUUUUAAAACUAGUAUCUCUUCAAGAAUAUAUUUUAGUCAAUUCUAGUUGUAAAAAAUUACGGAAUUUAAAAUUAUCUAAAUUUUAUUUAUUGAUUAUUUGCAGUGUUAACACAACAGUGUUCCACACAGCCUGUUCAGAAAGUGGAAAAUAUAUUACAAAAUACAACUUAAUAAAAAAUAGAUAUUUUAAAUUGGAUUCCAAAAUAAUUUUUAAUGGACCGGUUGUGUGGGCACUCUGUAUAUGUCAUAUACCGUUAUAUUAGUGAUUCUCUCUUUAAAAAAGGAUUUUAAAUUGAUAUUUUUUAAAUCUGCAUUAGAAAAGCAAAAUUUUACUAAAUGGCGAAUGCGCCAGGACAUAAAAAUAAUUGUAA